AACCCGACUCCGUGAAGCUGGAUUCGCUAGUAAUCGCGCAUCAGCCAUGGCGCGGUGAAUACGUUCCCGGGCCUUGUACACACCGCCCGUCAAGCCAUGGGAGCCGGGAGCGCUUGAAGUGCGUCGCCGCGAGGCGCGCCCUAGAGCGAGACCGGUGACUGGGGCUAAGUCGUAACAAGGUACC
rnacentral:rRNA from 1 species